GAUUGCGAGCCACCGCCCUCGCGAAGCACCUCGGACACGGCGACUGCCGACUGACCCGGUACACUGUUUCUCCCUCCCCAUUUCUCUCUCUCCUGCGCUGGGUUUAACGCAGCGGUAGGCGAUUUCCCCCGAUGCCCCCGUCGUGGGUUUGUCCCCGUGGAAAGAAGCACCGCUCCCGUGGAAACAAGAAGUCGUUCUAGGGAUCCAAGAUGGCGGCGCGGAUGCUCAUCGCCGAUCCGCCCAGAAUACUACGCCGUCAAGCCCCCAAGCCCCAUGCACCCACCUCUCCAGCCACUCCUCCCGCUGCCAAAAAGCCAGAUCUGGUUGAGCGCACUGCAGAUUUCGCGGUAAUUGUUUCAUCGAGACUGCCGUCUCCAGCGCCCGGUGGACCGCCGCCGGUGUGCAGCGACGACAUAGAACUCGUCCCAGAGACUCCACAGUUCAGGGUAAGCCAGCUUCGAAUGUGGUAGUACCCAACUAAAGUUUGUCUCUGUCAUAUCGAAUUUUAAAUGAUAAUUAUGGAUGUUAACUAUAGUUUAAUUAUAAAACUAAUUACACAGAUAAAGGCUAAAAACAAGACGAAUUUAUUAAGCCUAUAUUUAAUACUUAUAAUUGAUAUUCAAAUAUUUAAUAUGCACGAACUAAACACCCCAAACUCACCUACGCAGAUGUUGUCAGGAAGCAGCCCUCCUCUAUACAUGUCCAAACAUGCCAGUAUGCCACCCGGCCCGGCCUGGCAUGCUAGACCACCCGGCCCGGCCUGGCAUGCUAGACCACGACGUGUUAGGGCAUGGACAUGAAAAGAACGAUUAGUCUGUCGCGUCGCGUCGUGUCUAAGGUAGAGCCAAGCCAUGGCACGGGUAUUCCUUAAGGGCUGGUUUGGUGACCAGGGGAUUGGAGGGGAUCGAUUCGCUCUAGUUCCUUAGUCACCAAAUCAGCCUAAGCCACGACGUGCCCGUGUCGGUCUCAACUCCCAAAAAAUCAAAUACACAAAUUUAUAGGCUCUCAAGUGUGUUGCGCGGACGGGAGGGGUGUAAGAGGAGCCUCAGAGGGGAGGAAGGAGAGGGAAGCGGUGGCUGUGAGGUGAGCAGGUGGCGUCGCGAUGGAUGGGGGCAAGGGCGAGUAUGGGAGAGGCGAUAGUUGGAGUCAGGAGAUGGGGAUGGGAUGAGCCUGUCUCGACGGGAGUGGGGAGUUUAGUAGGUUAGACUAUGGUUAAUGUGGGAGCCAAGUGGCUAGGAGAAAAUUUACCUUUGCCAUAGGCCUUUUUUCCUCUUUUGUCUUGAAGGCCUAAAUCCCUCAUUUGGGCCUAUUUUUGUUUUUACGUCUUCUCUUUCUAUUGUACUUUGGCUCCUUUUUCUCCCCUCAAUAUAUUUUUUUGGCAAAUGCCCUGCGCCCCUGCCAGCAAAUUAAAAAAAACGUUCUAGUAUGACCUCGAUGUUCAGUAUAAUACUGACCGGCCUUCUGGAUAUUAACCUACACCUGCUGUUACUUGUUUUUUUAACAACAAAAUGCCCUUUUCUGUAAGCUGUCUAGUAAAAAAACAAAAAAAAACCAAUCUGUCAAAGUUCCUUUUGCAGCUUCGAUUAUCAAAGUUCAGCUGCCCACCUGUAGGGAAAAUUUGAUGAAAUGAUGAUUCAUAUACUAAUGCCAUGUGGGUUUAUGUGAAUCAACUGAUGAAAUUAUUAUGGCGGUGCUAACCAACCCUGUGGUGCCACCCUUUUAUAUUUAUGGUUGAAUAUGAAAUACAGUGAAAUGUGUCUUAGCUUCGGUUAAGUUCAAGUACUUAUUUUGUAUAGGAUAUGUAUAUUGUUAGAAGUCUGCGUCUCCUAAAAGCAGUUUGAAACACAAGUUUGUUAUUAUACCAAGCAAAAAUGUUAGAUAUUAAGUGCUAAUAUGUGUUGGUCCUUAGUUGUUUGUGCAUGUGAUACUUGUCCAUCCAUUCUAUUUUUGAAAUAAUCAGAAGGUGGUGCAUGCCAUGCUUGCGCUAUUGUAAACAACUUGAUGUCACAUUAUAUGUGUCGGAUCAUCUUGAAUUAGAAAUUAGCAAUUCAAUGUCCAUGUGGAACUGUUUAUGCAAUGGAAGAAGAGAAAGGUAGCAUUCAAAAGAAAGGUGCCCACCUGAUACAAUCUUCCUAAAGUAAACUUGUCAUUUCCUGCUUGUGGUUUUGUAAGUGACAUCUACAAGUCUCAUAUGACAAGAUAGCCAUAUCCACUGUUAGCAACUACAUUUAGUGGAUCAUGUGUUGCUUCUGUUAAGGUUUUUCUGUUGACAAAAAAGGACUUGCUUGUUUCAUUGUCAUCUUUUGGAGGGUUCUCGUUUCUAGCUCAAUCCUGGAUUCACGUCAAUACUUGAACCGCUCAUAGUGGCUAUGCUAUAUGUCCAAGCCUCCUAGGUUAACUUGAGGUUUUGUUCUAUUGGAUUUCUCGUGAGAAGUAUGGAUCUACCCUUAAACUUUUGUUAUGUUUAUAAGACCUGAAAAGCCUUCGCUCCCCCCUCUCUUGUGAAAAUAGUUGAAUAGAGAGUGGUGACCGGAGAAAUAUGAUUAUUUAGCUUGAACAAGCAUAUAAGAAAAUGUUUUUUAUUUAUUAAUUGUAUUUUAAUCUCGUUCUCUAUGGCUGUGAUUUCCAAUACUUCUAGCCACUAGAAAGAGGUACACCCAAUGCUAGGGGCUCCCACAUGAGUGGGUUCUAGGCUUCUAGCCCAUAGGUAUUAAGGCGACCGACACCUUUUUUAUCUUUAGGUGAUAAAGCAUAAGGCGAGGCAACACCUUAAUUAUAUCUAUAAACAUUAAAAUUUAGAUAAAAUGUUAUUUAUAUAUCAUUAAUUCAAAGUUAAUAAGCAAGCUAGCACUUUUAUAAGGCCUAGUAGGCCCAAUUUCAGCCUAGAAGC
rnacentral:lncRNA from 7 species